UCUUUCUAGCAUUUAAAUACUAUUUUAUGGAAUAAGGAUCAACUUUCCUUUUUUUUUUUUUUUGGUUUACCUGCUUUCUUAGCACUGUUAUGACUCUGGUUUCUUUAGAAAUUUACCAUGAGUUUUACAAUUGCAUAGUGCUUGUUGACAAAUGUUCUGUGAAUUUAAAGGUAUGCUUCUUCCAUCGUGGGACAUUGAGAAUAUUCAAAAUAUAUAGUGCCAUCCUUGUUAAUUAAGUGCUUUGGGUGAUUUUAACUUGGCAGACUAGGUGUGUUGAAUCUGAUUUUCUGCCUAAGGCCUGAUCGACAUGCUUCUUACUGUAGGCUUCUGAAUUUCUAGCCUAUGCAAAUUGGCUUUUGACCACUGUUUUCAUCAUUCACAUUGCUGAGUUUUAAAGACAUGCUUUGACAAAACAUUUUCAUAUCGGAGGACAUUGAAACUUCGAAAAGAAAAAUUUUCGUAUCGGAGGUCAUUGAAACUUCGAAACCUGUAUUAAUGCCAACUAACUUGCUUUGUAAGUUGGAUAGGUUCCUGAUUUCAAAGAAUUACUCUUCACUUGAGUAGCUCCAAGUAGCUUUGAUAACCAUGUGAUAUUAUUCCCAUGUUUGGAAACAUGGGGUCUGCGGCCUUUUAGGUUUCAAACAGGUCACUUGAACACCUGCAGUUGAAGGUGGUGACUAAAUGGUGGAAUGGCUUAUGUUGGGGUUCAAAGUGUUAAUAAAUAUGACUCUUAAAGAAUAAACUGACAGAGUGGAUUGCAAUAACACUUAGGCCCUGCUUGGGAUCGAGGAAAUGAGAAUAUGAACUUGCGAAAUCCUUGAACUUGUCAAAUUCAUGAAUUUGCAUUGGAUUUGAAUUUGAAAAUUCGCAGAGUUCAGUGUUUGGGAGUCGAGCUAUAAAUCCAUGGAUUUGAGAGCAUUUAUUGUAAUGAAAUAGCUUUUAUUGAUUUAAGAAUGUCUCUUAUUUUGUUGAUUUGCAAAGCAUUUAGUUUAUUUUUUAGGGGAUUUGGAUUUGUGGGGGUUUUUCAUUUUGCAAAAUCCACGGAUUUGGCAAAUUUCCAACUAAAAAGAAACCUGACGGUGUUUGGACGAGCGGCCAGCACUUUGGGUUUGCUCCCUGCAGGCGUGGGUUUGACGCCCCUCCCCAGCAUUACCUGAUGCAUGUGGUUGCGUGUGAUUGCACGCAUCCGCAGGGAAUAUUCUCACCUCAAAAGGGGCGGGGGACACCCUGUGUUGUCAAAAAAAAAAGAAAAGAAAAAGAAAGAA